UACGAAGGGGGCAAGCGUUGUUCGGAAUUACUGGGCGUAAAGGGCGCGUAGGCGGCUUAUCAAGUCAGGCGUGAAAUCCCCGGGCUCAACCCGGGAACUGCGUCCGAUACUGGAAGGCUUGAAUCCGGGAGAGGGAUGCGGAAUUCCAGGUGUAGCGGUGAAAUGCGUAGAUAUCUGGAGGAACACCGGUGGCGAAGGCGGCAUCCUGGACCGGCAUUGACGCUGAGGCGCGAAAGCCAGGGGAGCAAACGGG
rnacentral:rRNA from 1 species